rnacentral:rRNA from 1 species
UCCAGACUCCUACGGGAGGCAGCAGUAGGGAAUCUUUCACAAUGGGCGAAAGCCUGAUGGAGCAACGCCGCGUGCAGGAUGAAGGCCUUCGGGUUGUAAACUGCUUUUAUAAGCGGGAAAUAUGAUGGUAACUUAUGAAUAAGGAUCGGCUAACUACGUGCCAGCAGCCGCGGUCAUACGUAGGAUCCGAGCAUUAUCCGGAGUGACUGGGUGUAAAGAGUUGCGUAGGUGGCAUAAUAAGUAGCUAGUGAAAUCUGGUGGCUCAACCAUUCAGACUAUUAGCUAAACUGUUAAGCUCGAGACCGUGAGGGGUAACUGGAAUUUCUAGUGUAGGGUUGAAAUCCGUAGAUAUUAGAAGGAACACCAGUGGCGAAGGCGGCUUACUGGACAGUAACUGACGUUGAGGCUCGAAAGCGUGGGGAGCAAACAGGAUUAGAUACCCGAGUA